rnacentral:lncRNA from 1 species
UCUGCCCAUCUCAGCCUCCCAAAGUGCUGGGAUUACAGGCAUGAGCCACUGCGCCUGGCCUCAGGCAUUUACACAUUUUCAAAUAUCCCUCCUUGCUCUGCUCCCCUGGGUGUGUUCCCAGCUCUAAUGAACCUCAACUUCUCUGCGGUGCUAUGCUUUCCACCCUCAAAGACUGGAGGGCAGCUUGCCCUGGACUUCCUUCCCCAGUCAAGAGUAAUUAGCUCCUUCCAUCAUUUCAAGGAACUGUGCUAGGCCACCACAUGCUGAAUAGGCUCUCUCUAGUCUUUGUAAUCCACCUUCUCAGAUCGAUGAUAGUGGCUGAAUAAAUAUUGCAAGGAAUAAUAGCUGAGCUGUCACCUAUUGACACCUGAGGACAGGAGACUGUGGUAGUGCCACACUGUUGGCUUGUGCAGGUGGAUGAACCGGGGAAUGACGACAAGGUCAAAUUGGGGCCCUUGACCCAGAGGAUCAAAUUCAGGUUGAAUGGCAUGAAGGUAGGGACUGAGAUGAAGGGGGAGUAUUUGCAUCAAGACUGAGGGAUGGCCAAGCAUGGUGGCCUCAUGCCUGUCAUCCUAGCACUUUGGGAGGCCGAGGCAGGAGGAUCACUUGAGCUCAGGAGUUCGAGGCCAGCCUGGGCAAUAUAGUGAGACCCAGUCUCAAAAAGUUGGGGGGAUGACAAAUUGAGGUUGCACUGAGCAAACCAUCUUAACGUUUGGCUAAGGCAUCGUUUCCAUGCAUUGGGACUUAAUUGGUUUUUCCUCUUCUCCAAAGUUCAGAUCUUUUCCUGCUGACCCUUUGAUUUCAAAUGUGCAGAGGGGUGUCUCGGAACAAAAGCCAGAACUGGAACCCAUAUGGACCUUGACAGAGACCAGGCCUUCAGCCCUGGCGGAACUUUGCAUGAAUAGAGAACUACUGUGAAGACAAGAGGCUGGGAGAUGAAUGGGGGCAGUGGGACCCCGUGGCACACUGGCAAUCCCUGGUCACCCCUGCUCGGAACCCACCAAAGAUGGCCUGAGCAUUGGCGUAAAAUACUCCUUUCUGAGGAGGUGGCGUCCAAGCAGACACCUGAAAGAUGGGAAGCAACAGCCCAGCUUGGGGAAAGGACAAUUCAGGGUCUCACUCUGUCACCUAAGCUGGAGUGCAGUGGU